GUCUAUGGCCACGCCUGACCUUGGAAGCUAAGCAGGGUCGGGCCUGGUUAGUACUUGGAUGGGAGACCGCCUAGGAAGACCAGGUGCUGUAGGCA
rnacentral:rRNA from 1 species